UGAAAAGAUCCAAUGGGCUCAAUGUGAAGACUGUUUUAAGUCGUGCAAAGUUCCUGCCGAUGCUUUUCUUUCCUCAAGAUGGACCUGUUUUGAAAACUGGUGGGAUCUAGAAAGGGACAGGGCAAAACCCACAAAAUACACAAAGGACAGUAGCUAUUGUGGUGGGAGGAGUGGCUGGUUUUGGGCUUGGAAUUGCCUGUUUGUUGUUUCUAAAAUCAGCUUUUAAGAAACGAGAAAACAAGUAUGGAGGAUGAUGAUGAGGGAAUCAUUGGAAUGGUUGGGCUUUCUUGAUCUAAGAAAAGGGUUAUCAAGAUACUUCACGAUGUCAAUGGAAUCAUAAAACCAUCCAGGUUGGUUCAUGAAUUCCUCAAUUUUAGAUUAAUGCUACUUGAUUGAUUGAUCUACUGGAAACUAGAAAGUUUUGGUCUCCAA